rnacentral:lncRNA from 1 species
CGCCCCUGUGUGGUACCGGUACGCAUUGCUGAAAACCUACAAUUUGCAUAUUUCAAUGCUAAAAUUCUGCUCUCGCGUCGCAACGAGUUCGUUUUGCGUCUAUUUUGCGCCAAAACGACUCGGACUUGUUCCGACACUCUCCAGAUGUAUCAACAAGCCUCAGAUGCAGAAGUCUCACAGCUACAGAAUUCCAGGAAUACUACAUUUGGUAUAAAAAAAUGGCUUUUUAGAAAUUAUAUUUGAGAAUAUAAGGACUUUUACAGUAACAAUAUAUAAAAGUUGAAUUUUGUAGAAAUAUAUUUGUCAUUCACUAUAUUUGCAAGGAUUUGUACGAAAUUAACUCAAAACUAUAAUUUUAUAAUUUUUAUUCCUUAUUAUAUAUAAAGAGGUGAAAAUAUUAACAAAUGACUUAUACUCACAAUUUAAAUUAAAAAUUUAUGUUUAUAUUUAUAUUUAAAAUCUAAAAUUAUAUUUUAAAAUUUAAACUUAAAUCUACUAUUUGAUCUUAAAUUUUAAAUUCAAAUAUGUAUUCAUAAUUUAAAUUAAUAUUUAAAUUAAAAAUUAAAAUU